rfam:Ensifer sp. LCM 4579 contig_10, whole genome shotgun sequence.
GGAAUUCGACGCGACGUCAUCCUCCUCCCGGCGUCGCAUCGAUAAGAUUGGCAACACUCCUCCUCCCGGUUGCCAAUCGCCUAUAUGGCGCCCGCCGGACCUCCUCCCCCGGCGGGCGUUAUUU